CCUACGGGAGGCAGCAGUGAGGAAUAUUGGUCAAUGGACGCAAGUCUGAACCAGCCAUGCCGCGUGCAGGAAGACGGCUCUAUGAGUUGUAAACUGCUUUUGUACGAGGGUAAACGCAGAUACGUGUACCUGUCUGAAAGUAUCGUACGAAUAAGGAUCGGCCAACUCCGUGCCAGCAGCCGCGGUAAUACGGAGGAUUCAAGCGUUAUCCGGAUUUAUUGGGUUUAAAGGGUGCGUAGGCGGUCGGAUAAGUUAGAGGUGAAAUCCCGAGGCUCAACUUCGGAAUUGCCUCUGAUACUGGUCGGCUAGAGAGUAGUUGCGGUAGGCGGAAUGUAUGGUGUAGCGGUGAAAUGCUUAGAGAUCAUACAGAACACCGGUUGCGAAGGCGGCUAACCGGGCUACUUCUGACGUUGAGGCGCGAAAGCGUGGGGAGCAAACAGGAUUAGAUACCCGAGUAGUC
rnacentral:rRNA from 1 species